rnacentral:rRNA from 1 species
UACAGAGGUCCCAAGCGUUGUUCGGAUUCACUGGGCGUAAAGGGUGCGUAGGUGGUGAGGUAAGUCGGAUGUGAAAGCUCGGAGCUCAACUCCGAAAUGGCAUUGGAAACUACCUUGCUCGAGGGUUGGAGGGGGGACUGGAAUACUUGGUGUAGCAGUGAAAUGCGUAGAUAUCAAGUGGAACACCAGUGGCGAAGGCGGCUCACUGGCCCGGUACUGACGCUGAGGUGCGAAAGCGUGGGGAGCAAACAGG